GGUCAAGCGAACAAGUGCAUGUGGUGGAUGCCUUGGCGAUCACAGGCGAUGAAGGACGCGGUAGCCUGCGAAAAGCUACGGGGAGCUGGCAAACGAGCUUUGAUCCGUAGAUGUCCGAAUGGGGAAACCCGGCCCUUUUGGGUCAUCCUAGACUGAAUACAUAGGUCUAGUGAAGCGAACGCGGUGAACUGAAACAUCUAAGUAACCGCAGGAAAAGAAAUCAACCGAGAUUCCCAAAGUAGUGGCGAGCGAAAUGGGAUGAGCCUUGCACUCUUUAUUUGUAUUGUUAGCCGAACGCUCUGGAAAGUGCGGCCAUAGCAGGUGAUAGCCCUGUAGGCGAAAACAGUAUGAAAGAACUAGGUGUGCGACAAGUAGGGCGGGACACGUGAAAUCCUGUCUGAAGAUGGGGGGACCAUCCUCCAAGGCUAAAUACUCGUGAUCGACCGAUAGUGAACCAGUACCGUGAGGGAAAGGCGAAAAGAACCCCGGGAGGGGAGUGAAAUAGAUCCUGAAACCGCAUGCAUACAAACAGUCGGAGCCUCGCAAGGGGUGACGGCGUACCUUUUGUAUAAUGGGUCAGCGACUUACGUUCAGUAGCAAGCUUAACCGUAUAGGGCAGGCGUAGCGAAAGCGAGUCCGAAUAGGGCGUUCAGUUGCUGGGCGUAGACCCGAAACCAGGUGAUCUAUCCAUGGCCAGGAUGAAGGUGCGGUAACACGUACUGGAGGUCCGAACCCACUAACGUUGAAAAGUUAGGGGAUGAGCUGUGGAUAGGGGUGAAAGGCUAAACAAACCUGGAAAUAGCUGGUUCUCUCCGAAAACUAUUUAGGUAGUGCCUCGUGUCUCACCUUCGGGGGUAGAGCACUGUCAUGGUUGGGGGGUCUAUUGCAGAUUACCCCGCCAUAGCAAACUCCGAAUACCGAAGAGUGCAAUCACGGGAGACAGACAUCGGGUGCUAACGUCCGGUGUCAAGAGGGAAACAACCCAGACCGCCAGCUAAGGUCCCCAAAUAUAGCUAAGUGGGAAACGAAGUGGGAAGGCUAAAACAGUCAGGAGGUUGGCUUAGAAGCAGCCACCCUUUAAAGAAAGCGUAAUAGCUCACUGAUCGAGUCGUCCUGCGCGGAAGAUGUAACGGGGCUAAGCUAUAUACCGAAGCUGCGGAUGCGAGCUUGCUCGCAUGGUAGGAGAGCGUUCCGUAAGCCUGCGAAGGUGCCUUGUAAAGGGUGCUGGAGGUAUCGGAAGUGCGAAUGCUGACAUGAGUAGCGAUAAAGGGGGUGAAAGGCCCCCUCGCCGUAAGCCCAAGGUUUCCUACGCAACGUUCAUCGGCGUAGGGUGAGUCGGCCCCUAAGGCGAGGCAGAAAUGCGUAGCUGAUGGGAAGCAGGUCAAUAUUCCUGCACCAUUGUUAGAUGCGAUGGGGGGACGGAUCGCGGAAGGUUGUCCGGGUGUUGGAAGUCCCGGUCGCUGCAUUGGAGAAGGCGCUUAGGCAAAUCCGGGCGCGCAAUUCAAGGGUGUGGCGCGAGCUCCUUAGGGAGCGAAGCAAUUGGAAGUGGUUCCAAGAAAAGCCUCUAAGCUUCAGUCUAACGAUGACCGUACCGCAAACCGACACAGGUGGGCGAGAUGAGUAUUCUAAGGCGCUUGAGAGAACUCGGGAGAAGGAACUCGGCAAAUUGGUACCGUAACUUCGGGAUAAGGUACGCCCUUGUAGCUUGACUGGCCUGCGCCAGGAGGGUGAAGGGGUUGCAAUAAACUGGUGGCUGCGACUGUUUAAUAAAAACACAGCACUCUGCAAACACGAAAGUGGACGUAUAGGGUGUGACGCCUGCCCGGUGCCGGAAGAUUAAAUGAUGGGGUGCAAGCUCUUGAUUGAAGUCCCGGUAAACGGCGGCCGUAACUAUAACGGUCCUAAGGUAGCGAAAUUCCUUGUCGGGUAAGUUCCGACCUGCACGAAUGGCGUAACGAUGGCCACACUGUCUCCUCCCGAGACUCAGCGAAGUUGAAGUGUUUGUGAUGAUGCAAUCUACCCGCGGCUAGACGGAAAGACCCCAUGAACCUUUACUGUAGCUUUGCAUUGGACUUUGAACCGAUCUGUGUAGGAUAGGUGGGAGGCUAUGAAACCGGAACGCUAGUUUCGGUGGAGCCGUCCUUGAAAUACCACCCUGGUUUGUUUGAGGUUCUAACCUUGGCCCGUGAUCCGGGUCGGGGACAGUGCAUGGUAGGCAGUUUGACUGGGGCGGUCUCCUCCCAAAGCGUAACGGAGGAGUACGAAGGUACGCUAGGUACGGUCGGAAAUCGUGCUGAUAGUGCAAUGGCAUAAGCGUGCUUAACUGCGAGACCGACAAGUCGAGCAGGUGCGAAAGCAGGUCAUAGUGAUCCGGUGGUUCUGUAUGGAAGGGCCAUCGCUCAACGGAUAAAAGGUACUCUGGGGAUAACAGGCUGAUACCGCCCAAGAGUUCAUAUCGACGGCGGUGUUUGGCACCUCGAUGUCGGCUCAUCUCAUCCUGGGGCUGUAGCCGGUCCCAAGGGUAUGGCUGUUCGCCAUUUAAAGAGGUACGUGAGCUGGGUUUAAAACGUCGUGAGACAGUUUGGUCCCUAUCUGCCGUGGGCGUUGGAUAUUUGAAGGGGGCUGCUCCUAGUACGAGAGGACCGGAGUGGACGAACCUCUGGUGUACCGGUUGUCACGCCAGUGGCAUCGCCGGGUAGCUAUGUUCGGAAGAGAUAACCGCUGAAAGCAUCUAAGCGGGAAACUCGCCUUAAGAUGAGAUAUCCCUGGGGACUAGAUCCCCUUGAAGGGUCGUUCGAGACCAGGACGUUGAUAGGUCAGGUGUGUAAGCGCAGUAAUGCGUUCAGCUAACUGAUACUAAUUGCCCGUAAGGCUUGAUCCU
rnacentral:rRNA from 1 species